rnacentral:rRNA from 1 species
GAUGAACGCUGGCGGCGUGCCUAAUACAUGCAAGUCGAACGAGGUGCUUUUGUAGCAAUACGAGAGUAUCCUAGUGGCGAACGGGUGAGUAACGCGUUGGUGACCUACCCCAAAGUGUGGGAUAACAGAUCGAAAGAUCUGCUAAUACCGCAUGUGGUCUUCGGAUUUAGAAACUGAUGACUAAAGGAGCAAUUCGCUUUGGGAGGGACCUGCGUCCCAUCAGCUAGUUGGUGAGGUAACGGCUCACCAAGGCGACGACGGGUAGGGGACCUGAGGAGGUGGCCCCCCACAAUGGAACUGAAACACGGUCCAUACACCUACGGGUGGCAGCAGUAGGGAAUAUUGCUCAAUGGGCGAAAGCCUGAAGCAGCAACGCCGCGUGUGCGAUGAAGGCCUUCGGGUCGUAAAGCACUUUUCUGAGGGAUGAGAAAGGACAGUACCUCAGGAAUAAGUCUCGGCUAACUACGUGCCAGCCGCCGCCGUAAGAC